rnacentral:rRNA from 1 species
UUAGGGAAGAACAAGUGCUAGUUGAAUAAGCUGGCACCUUGACGGUACCUAACCAGAAAGCCACGGCUAACUACGUGCCAGCAGCCGCGGUAAUACGUAGGUGGCAAGCGUUAUCCGGAAUUAUUGGGCGUAAAGCGCGCGCAGGUGGUUUCUUAAGUCUGAUGUGAAAGCCCACGGCUCAACCGUGGAGGGUCAUUGGAAACUGGGAGACUUGAGUGCAGAAGAGGAAAGUGGAAUUCCAUGUGUAGCGGUGAAAUGCGUAGAGAUAUGGAGGAACACCAGUGGCGAAGGCGACUUUCUGGUCUGUAACUGACACUGAGGCGCGAAAGCGUGGGGAGCAAACAGGAUUAGAUACCCUGGUAGUCCACGCCGUAAACGAUGAGUGCUAAGUGUUAGAGGGU